AUUGAACGCUGGCGGCAGGCUUAACACAUGCAAGUCGAACGAGUGGCGGACGGGUGAGUAAUGCUUGGGCAUCUAGCUUAUGGAGGGGGAUAACUACGGGAAACGGUAGCUAAUACCGCAUACCAUCAGAUGAACCCAUAUGGGAUUAGCUUAUAGGUGAGGUAACGGCUCACCUAGGCGACGAUCCCUAGCUGGUCUGAGAGGAUGAUCAGCCACAAUGGGACUGAGACACGGCCCAGACUCCUACGGGAGGCAGCAGGGGGGAAUAUUGCGCAAUGGGGGCAACCCUGACGCAGCCAUGCCGCGUGAAUGAAGAAGGCCUUCGGGUUGUAAAGUUCUUUCGGUAGCGAGGAGUUAACUACAGAAGAAGCACCGGCUAACUCCGUGCCAGCCGCCGCGGUAAUUC
rnacentral:rRNA from 1 species